rnacentral:rRNA from 1 species
UACGUAGGGGGCAAGCGUUGUCCGGAAUCAUUGGGCGUAAAGCGCGUGUAGGCGGCCCAGUAAGUCCGCUGUGAAAGCCCAGGGCUCAACCCUGGGAUGCCGGUGGAUACUGUUGGGCUCGAGUCCGGAAGAGGCGAGUGGAAUUCCCGGUGUAGCGGUGAAAUGCGCAGAUAUCAGGAGGAACACCGGUGGCGAAGGCGGGUCUCUGGGCCGAUACUGACGCUGAGGAGCGAAAGCGUGGGGAGCGAACAGG